UACGAAGGGGCUAGCGUUGCUCGGAAUCAGCUAGGGCGUAAAGGGUGCGUAGGCGGGUCUUUAAGUCAGGGGUGAAAUCCUGGAGCUCAACUCCAGAACUGCCUUUGAUACUGGAGGAUCUUGAGUUCGGGAGAGGUGAGUGGAACUGCGAGUGUAGAGGUGAAAUUCGUAGAUAUUCGCAAGAACACCAGUGGCGAAGGCGGCUCACUGGCCGAUACUGACGCUGAGGCACGAAAGCGAUGGGAGCAAA
rnacentral:rRNA from 1 species